UUAAGUAGGGGAUAGGGUUCGGGGGCAUUAGUAUUCAAUUGUCAGAGGUGAAAUUCUUGGAUUUAUUGAAGACUAACUACUGCGAAAGCAUUUGCCAAGGAUGUUUUCAUAAUCAAGAACGAAAGUUAGGGGAUCGAAGACGAUCAGAUACCGUCGUAGUCUUAACCAUAAACUAUGCCGACUAGGGAUCGGAUGAUGUUAAUUUUAUAAUGACUCA
rnacentral:rRNA from 1 species